GCGAGCGUAGCCAAGUGGUUAAGGCAGAGGAUUGUGAUUCCUCCACUCGUGGGUUCAAGUCCCAUCGUUCGCCC
rnacentral:tRNA from 4 species